GACGUAGGGCGCGAGCGUUGUCCGGAUUUAUUGGGCGUAAAGAGCUCGUAGGUGGCCUGUCGCGUCGGCUGUGAAAACUCGGGGCUCAACUCCGAGCUUGCAGUCGAUACGGGCAGGCUAGAGUUCGGCAGGGGAGACUGGAAUUCCUGGUGUAGCGGUGAAAUGCGCAGAUAUCAGGAGGAACACCGGUGGCGAAGGCGGGUCUCUGGGCCGAUACUGACACUGAGGAGCGAAAGCGUGGGGAGCGAACAGG
rnacentral:rRNA from 1 species